CGACCCCUGCUUCUUCUUCCUUCCAAACAACAGACAAGCAACGUUCAAAUCCCAGCAAAUCCGGAAAUCAGCAGGUGUCUGCUGCGCCCAUACUCUUCAUCGUCCCCUUCCCCCCUUUUCACGGAAAUCAGAUUUUGCCCAUCCCCUUGACUGUGGUUUCGAAAAGAGCAGAGAGGAUUGAAAUUGUUGUUUGAAUUCUCAAUGGAUUUUCCCCCCUAAAACGAUUUUUCUUCUUCUAUAUAUUCCCUCUUUCAAUCACUGUUUGAAGGGGGGGAUUUUUUUUGGCAAGAACUUAUAGAGAAAUACAUCUUAAAUAUAUAUAUAAGUUCUUCCUUUGUUUGUGAGCUGCUAGUAUUCAUAGGAGUUUCCGGAAGAUCGCAGUCGGUGGUCAAGUCGUUACUCCUUGUUCAUCCUGUCCCUGUUCGCUGCCCACAACAAGGCUUCUACCCUCCCGUUGCAUUUCAAUGAUUGGGCCAUAGGGGCCCGAUUUCUCUUUUCUUUAAGUUAGCCGGGUCAUCCGAAUAGGGCUGUACAGAGGUUGGAAACUGAAAACAAGUCUCAGAAUGCUGAAAAUAAGCCGAAAUACAGUGGUAUACGUCAAUAUACACGACAAAAACAGUGAGAUACAGGUCUAAAACGCAGGAAUACAGGGCUAAGGUGACAUACAGGUGUUCGGAAGUAAGAAAUACAUGAAAAGAGCUGAUAUAUAUGCUCAUAUACACUGAUAUACAUCCAGAGUAUACGCAAAACGGGAAUGAGAUUGAAGCUUGAAAAUAUAGCGAAAUUGGCCCAAGAAGGGGCCCAAUUUCAUUAUCUCGUUUACUCUUCUAAUUAUUUGAUUAUGUGUUGACUAAUCUUAUUUAACUCUAACUUUAAUUAACUUAGUUGAGAUCCCCAAAAGACGAAAUAUUUCUUUGUGUUGUUUUGUUUCUAACAAAUCUCAUUUGA